CCGCUUCAGUUGCAAUUGCAAUCAAUUUCGAUCUUCUCCUUCUCCUUCUCUCGUUUCAAUUUUUUUUUUCUCCUUCUUUCCCCAUUUUUUCUGGUUCAAAUUUAAGCUUCGAUGGAUUGGGUCUUGAUUCUACCAAUCUUUGUAUAGAUUUAAGAUAGUGAUGAUUCUGUCACCCCCCUCUACCGGCUUUAUUCCAAGCCGCUCAAACACCCACCAUCAGCCGGAAUCACAACGAGUUCGUCCUUGAAAGGUAUACUUUAAAUUCGAUCGAAUUCUUCAACCAAAACCUUCCAGAUCACCCUUCACCCUCAAUGCACGACUAAAAACGUGCGAGUGUUUCGAUUUGCAUCAAGAUCUGAUACCCUAUGGCGAUGCAUGGUCUUGGCAAAAAGAAAUUGUGAGAGAAGAGGUGGGAUUGAUCGAUGCGAACCAGGAUUGCCCGAAUACUUUAAUUUUUCUGCAGCAUCAUCCUGUAUACACAAUGGGCACGAACAGUACAGAAGAGUAUCUCAAUUUUGAUCCCAAGAAUUCUCCCUUUCCCAUUUAUCGCACUGAGCGUGGCGGGGAGGUUACAUAUCAUGGCCCUGGCCAGGACCAGAUCUGGAUUGGUUUUCUUGAUAAUUCGUUUUACUGCCAGUCUUUUUGAGGCAUCGCUCGGGCCUCUUAUGUUCCAUGAAAAAAAUUUCAUGAUGGAAUCUUGGAAUUAACCAAAGAUCAAGUCACAAUCUUCCACAAUUGAUGUCAAGUUGCUGGGGAUGUAUUCUUUGUCGAUGGCCUUAAUGGAAGGAGGGAAGCUGCUGGCCAAUUUGUGAUCCUCUUCUGAUUAAAAAAGGCAGGGCAGAUCGUGUAGAUGAUCCUGUCCAAGAUAAACCUCUUCUUGGAAGGGAUCAAGUUCUAGAAUAUCUUCCUCAUCACUGCUUAUACUCAACAAGGAAUCCUCAUCAGAAGCAUAAUUUUUGAUAGAUGCUUGAAAGGGUUCAGAUAAUCCUCGAGAAAAAGACACAUUUGAGUCUCCAACUUUAAUAUCCUGAAAAAGAGAAUGGGAAUGAUUCGAGGGGAACAGCCACUGACCUGUUAAUUGGACUAGAGGGUAUUUGCACCUUAGUACAACAAUUCUCCAAAAGAUCUGUGUUUAACAUGGAAGUCCAAUCAUUUCGAAAAGAGGUUUUCUUCCUUGUGAAAUAUUUUCUUAAAGGUUUCAAAAGAACAGUGGGAGAUGACCAGAAGGUGUAGAAGAAGAGAUUUUGGCACCGAGAUCUUCUUUUGGUAAUAAUAGAACUUUAUCUUGGAGGGAAGGAGUCGAAAAGGACUCUUGGACUUCCUUGUUUGUUGGUAUUGAAAAAACCAUAGAAGGGUCCAAAGUUUCAGGGCACGAGGGGGCUACAACAUUCAAUAGAACUUUUUGACUGUUUGUUGGUGUUUAUUUAAUUUUUCAGACUGUCGGUAUUCUUCUGAAAAGGUGCUGAUAUUCUGGCUGUUAUUGGAAUUAAAUUGAGUAAUGGCUGGUGGAAUAACCGAGAGCAUGUCUAUUGAACUUCCCCUGGUGAGUUUUAAUGCAUUUUUUGAUUCUCUCUCCAUUAAUUGAUCUUCCUUCUCUCUUCUUAAUGACAACUCUUUCUUCUCUCUCUUUUUGUUUACAUUAAACUGGGUAGAAGAGUCAGAACUAUUGGACUCAGCUUGAAUCUCAACAGCCCUCUCUUCUGGCAGUAUUACCAUAUUUUCUUCUAUUUGAAAAGGCUCUUGAAACGAAUUUUUUGGCUGAGAAGACUCCUGAACUUCCUUAAACAAAAGGCU